GACGAACCGUGCGAACGUUAUUCGGAAUCACUGGGCCUAAAGCGCGUGUAGGCGGAAGGGCACGUCCGUUGCUGAAAUCCCCCGGCUCAACCGGGGAACGGGCGCGGAUACGACUCUUCUGGAGGGGCGUAGGGGGACCUGGAACUUCCGGUGGAGCGGUGAAAUGCGUUGAGAUCGGAAGGAACGCCCGUGGCGAAAGCGAGGUCCUGGACGCCUACUGACGCUGAGACGCGAAAGCCAGGGGAGCGAACGGG
rnacentral:rRNA from 1 species